rnacentral:rRNA from 1 species
AUUGAACGCUGGCGGCAGGCUUAACACAUGCAAGUCGAGCGGAGGUGAGGUGCUUGCACCUUAUCUUAGCGGCGGACGGGUGAGUAAUGCUUAGGAAUCUGCCUAUUAGUGGGGGACAACAUUCCGAAAGGAAUGCUAAUACCGCAUACGUCCUACGGGAGACAGCAGGGGAUCUUCGGACCUUGCGCUAAUAGAUGAGCCUAAGUCGGAUUAGCUAGUUGGUGGGGUAAAGGCCUACCAAGGCGACGAUCUGUAGCGGGUCUGAGAGGAUGAUCCGCCACACUGGGACUGAGACACGGCCCAGACUCCUACGGGAGGCAGCAGUGGGGAAUAUUGGACAAUGGGGGAAACCCUGAUCCAGCCAUGCCGCGUGUGUGAAGAAGGCCUUAUGGUUGUAAAGCACUUUAAGCGAGGAGGAGGCUACUGAGACUAAUACUCUUGGAUAGUGGACGUUACUCGCAGAAUAAGCACCGGCUAACUCUGUGCCAGCAGCCGCCGUAAGAC